UAAGAAAGCAAAGUUUCAACAGUUGUUUACUAUUAUGGGAGUUAAGGCUGGUCAUUGCUGGCUUCCAACGUAUAUGCAUCGCACACUAAUAUAAAGAACAUUUCUUGACCCUUCACACGUGUUUCCUAUGAUAUUUUCACUGUUGGUACGGAAAAAUACAAAUGCCUAUAACGCAUUUUUUCAAUAGGUCAUUGCAAAAAAUCUGUUAGAUCCCGAAAAAAUAGAAAUCGUUUUAUCAGAUCUUGAGACUGCCAUCCGGAAUGCUGCACAUAUUAAUUUUCCAACAGCCCGCUGUGUUGGUUGUAAUGUACACCUGGAUAGAGCAGUCUACAAAGAAUUGCACAGCCUAAAGCUUCGUCCCUAUUUACAAAAAAAUGAAGACGCAGAAACUUUUGUGAAGAAACUUUUACUCCUAGCUUACAUACCACCUGAGUAUGUCAUGAAAGAAUGUGCAGAGCUCAUUAAUCAAUUAAACAUAAAACAUAAAAUAAAAUUAAAAACUUUUAUUAAAUAUUUCAACGACUUUUGGAUAAAAAAUG